rnacentral:rRNA from 1 species
GAGGAAUACAUCGGAAUCUACUCUGUCGUGGGGGAUAACGUAGGGAAACUUACGCUAAUACCGCAUACGACCUACGGGUGAAAGCAGGGGAUCUUCGGACCUUGCGCGAUUGAAUGAGCCGAUGUCGGAUUAGCUAGUUGGCGGGGUAAAGGCCCACCAAGGCGACGAUCCGUAGCUGGUCUGAGAGGAUGAUCAGCCACACUGGAACUGAGACACGGUCCAGACUCCUACGGGAGGCAGCAGUGGGGAAUAUUGGACAAUGGGCGCAAGCCUGAUCCAGCCAUACCGCGUGGGUGAAGAAGGCCUUCGGGUUGUAAAGCCCUUUUGUUGGGAAAGAAAUCCAGCCGGCUAAUACCCGGUUGGGAUGACGGUACCCAAAGAAUAAGCACCGGCUAACUUCGUGCCAGCAGCCGCGGUAAUACGAAGGGUGCAAGCGUUACUCGGAAUUACUGGGCGUAAAGCGUGCGUAGGUGGUCGUUUAAGUCCGUUGUGAAAGCCCUGGGCUCAACCUGGGAACUGCAGUGGAUACUGGGCGACUAGAGUGUGGUAGAGGGUAGCGGAAUUCCUGGUGUAGCAGUGAAAUGCGUAGAGAUCAGGAGGAACAUCCAUGGCGAAGGCAGCUACCUGGACCAACAC